rnacentral:rRNA from 1 species
AGGGCGAACGCUGGCGGCAGGCCUAACACAUGCAAGUCGAACGGACCCUUCGGGGUUAGUGGCGGACGGGUGAGUAACACGUGGGAACGUGCCUUUAGGUUCGGAAUAGCUCCUGGAAACGGGUGGUAAUGCCGAAUGUGCCCUUCGGGGGAAAGAUUUAUCGCCUUUAGAGCGGCCCGCGUCUGAUUAGCUUGUUGGUGAGGUAAUGGCUCACCAAGGCUACGAUCAGUAGCUGGUCUGAGAGGAUGACCAGCCACAUUGGGACUGAGACACGGCCCAAACUCCUACGGGAGCAGCAGUGGGAAUCUUGCGCAAUGGGCGAAAGCCGUGACGCAGCCAUGCCGCGUGUAUGAUGAAGGUCUUAGGAUUAGUAAAAUACUUUCACCGGUGAAAGAUAAUGACUGUAGCCGGAGAAGAACGCCCGGACUAACUUCGUGCCAGCCAGCCGC